rnacentral:rRNA from 1 species
GACGAACGCUGGCGGCGUGCCUAAUACAUGCAAGUCGAACGCAGUGGGGACGGGUGAGUAACACGUGGGUAACCUCCCAUCAGAGGGGAUAACACUUGGCAACAGCUGCUAAAACGAUACUGAUGGAUGGACCCGCGGUGAAUUAGCUAGUUGGUGAGGUAACUGCUCACCAAGGCCACGAUGCAUAGCAGACCUGAGAGGUUGAUGGUCCAACCUGGGACUGAGAAACGGCCUAGACUCCUACGGAGGGCAGCAGGAGGGAAUAUUCGGCAAUGUACGAAAUUCUGACCUAGCAACGCCGCUUGAGUGAAGAAGGUUUUCGGAUCGUAAAACUCUGUUGUGAGAGCAUCGGUAUCUAACCAGAAAGCUCCGGCUAAAUACGUGCCAGCCGCCGCGGUAAUUC